GAUCUCAGCUUACUGCAACCUCUGCCUUCCAGAAUCCUGAUCUGGGCUACCCUAUCUGUGCUUCUGGUGAGGUGGGCCCAGAACCAUCGUGUGAAUAAUGAUUGACCUCAGCUAGUGGUUCUCAUGGAGUGAUUGAUUUUGCUUCCCAGAGGACAUCAGCAAUGUCUGGAGACAUUUCCAGUUGUCACUACUUGAGAGGAAGCGUGAUCGGCCUCUAGAAGGGAGAGACCAGGGAUGCCGCUGCUCAAUAUCCUAUAAUGCACAGAACAGCUUCUACGACAAAGAGUUAUUCCACCAAAAAUGUCAGUAGUGCCAAGGUUGAGAGAACCUGCUCUAGGGUAAUCAGUGUGGUCCCAAUCUCCCUGUCAGUAACUGAUUCAACUCACAUAAUAAUCUUAUGGGAGUGUGAUGUAAUUCUAGCCAAUAAAAUGCAAUGGGAAGUUGGCCGAGAUACUUCUGAAAAAAUCUUCUCUUACCCCUAAAAAGAGACAUUCAUUUUCUGUUGAAAUGCAUUACUUUCCUAAAUAAAAUCAUAUUUACCAACAACGAGAAAAAGAGAAACAUGCAAGAAACCAUCUGUUUGCUGCUAGAUGCCAUUGUGUCUGCAAUGUGAUAUCUGGAACUAUGGCUGUCAUCCUGGAACCAUGAGAGGAGUUAGCUGAAGAAACAGGAGGAUGGCAAAGCGGAAGGAUGGAAGUUACCUGAGGCUGAGGACAUCAGUGCACCUCUGAUUUAACCAAUCCUUGAGACUUCUUGUUAUAUGAGAUAAUAAAUUCUAUUGCUAUUUAAGUCAUG
rnacentral:lncRNA from 1 species